ACCCAUAAAUACUCAACCCUAUCAUCAACAUCAUUAAGCAACAGACAGUCAAAAUGCUCUCUAACACACAAGGCUACCCCACCACCUCUCUUUCCUUGCCUAUCCCUUCUGAAGAGUUUAUAGCAGCACUCCUGUGGUACGAGUCAUACCACCAUGUUUCUGUGAUGGCAACUAUGUCAUAGUUUUUCUGCUUCCAGCUCCUCCUGUUUGUAGCCCAUGCUGUGUGAAUUCGUGUAGAUGCACUUCAGUUGGGUUAUUUUGGGGGGGAAAGGCCUUAAUUCCUACGUGACCAUUCUCAGGUGCUUCCAUGGUUUCUGACACAUCAAUAACCUUUGUGGUUUUUGAUGCUGCAUGGAUCUCCAUCCCCUACCUCCACUGAGAUGGCCGACUGAAGGACCUCAGUAGCACACUCAAGCAUUGUCAUGUCACCCCCAGGCUUAUCUCUGGCUGCACGUCGUUCCCAACUGUUCACCACCACACUGAGCCCAAGAUUCCGAAAGACCGAAGGUUUGGGUGCAGGAGCUGGCUCUGCACCCCUUAACUCAGUGCUUAAUCAAACGUCACACAGAUGCCCGCUGAGGCCCAGGAGGUGCUGGUUUUAUCCUCCAACCGCCUGAAGGGAGCCAAGAGACUGGAAGUGAGAGGUGGCAUUGCUGGUGUCGUUCACGGUGAAGGGCAGAGGUCGGCAGCAUCCCCUGCUCACGAGAGCUGGAGGAUGCCCCUGAUGUCGGGGCCUGGAUGAGGAGCUGACAACCCUUCCUCCAUGGUGUGGGUGAUGCACAACACCCCCAGAACCCCUGCCAUGGCCACGCAACCCCUCUGGCACAGCCCAGCCCACCGAUGGCAUCGUCCGUGCCACCCUGCUGUGUGGGUUACCAGGAGCACAUGUAAUUGCCAGGGAUGAGGGGAUGUCCCUACGGCCACGGGCCCCAGCCAUGCUCGCCCC